ensembl:lncRNA
CCAGGUUCAGUGAAUUGUGGUGUUCUGCAUAAACCUAAGCGAAGUUUCAGUUCCCAUUUGAGCAUUACAUAUGUUGUUUUUAACAGUUCUGAGGCCCAGGAGGUCUCGUCGCCUGAACAUGAAGAGGGAAUCAUCCCUGAUUCACCAGUCCUACCAGCCUCCUUUCCUGUGGCAAACAGACUGAAGAAACAUAAAAGUAUCAACAAAAUUAAACACGUUUGCUACACAGAGAGGCCUCUACCUCACUCUAACAACUCCCUCUUCAAAGGUCAGUCCUCUUUAGAGCAACUUCCUCCUCGUGAACCUGUCUGAAGGAACGAUGUGUUCUCACCUGUGCUGUUCUUUUAUUUUAAAGAGUUAAAUAAAGAUCCUGUCGGCGGCAUAAAAAACCCAGACAGAGCCGAAGUGCUUGUGCCAAAUACUUGUGAACUGGACGCAUCGCAGAUCUCAAGUAAGAUUUCAUCUACUAAAAGCCUGAAUUCAUGUAGAAAACAACAGAAAUGUUUAUUUACAUGUUGAGAAGUGUAAAAGUUCUUUAUGUGGAACUUUUCAGAUGAUGUGUGUGAGGAUGUGGAGGAGGCCGUCGCAGAAACGUGUGGCCUCGAUCUUCUUGUUAAGCAUCACACGAAAAUGGAGGUGGCUAGAAACCAGCAAUGCAGCUCAAAACUUAAAAAGCCUUUUAGCUUCUCCCCUUCGUCCACACUGAUCCACUGUCCAGACUCGACCACAGAGACGUCUCCGUCUCUUCUCCCACGGGUCAAACGGUUUUCACAAGAUGGCUCCAUGUGCAAGUCCAAACGCAGGAAGGAAGAAAGUGAGCCAGAGAUUCGGGAUUACAACGAGCAAGGAAUCCAAAAAGACACAGUCAGGCAACCUGAAGCGAUCCACCAAAGCUCAACAUCUGUCAGCAAGAAGGAGCAACUGGACAGCAAGGUUUGGUCAGCACAAAAGGAGACUUCUAGUCAAAGACCAGACAUCUCUUGUAUAAGUCCUGCCUUCAAGAAGCCAAACAUGAAAUAUGUUCAAGAUGUUAGGAAGCAGAGAACUCCUCUACAUCUGAACGCUUCACAUCACCAGCCUAAAACUGAAGACAAAGAAAAUAAGCAAACAGUGGAGCAAAUGUGGAGCAUAGAUCCUGCACUGGCUCUCUCUCUGUAUGACAGUGAAUGGAGGACAGAUGAGGAGGAUGAAAAACAGCUUCCUGGAGAACUGGUAGACACUGACAUCACUUGGGUCAGUCACAGCUUACUUCAAUGUCAGGGAGUAACGGACCAGGACACAGAAGACAGUGCAACUGGACUAGGAGAGAAGGCAAACGACAGUAUGGAUAUGCUUUUUGAAACAACAGCUUAUGGGGAGUACAAGUCGUACAACAGUCCACACUUAGGCCGAAGCCAACCCUGUGAUGAUGAUUCUGAUGACUAUGAAGAGGAGGAAAAGGAAGAAGAGGAGCAUGAUGCACAAGAGCCACCAGAGAGCCCUCCUCGUAGAAAAGCAGGGUAAGAAACACCGAUUUUAUUUUUUUUAUUUAAUUACAUUUUUUAAGUGAAGGCUGCAGUUUUAUUACAUUCUUGUUUAAUGGACAUUGUCGACCCUAAUCUUUUUUUU